GGUUUUAUAGUUUAAAAAAAAACCUUGGUUUUGUAAAUCAAAAUUAAGAUAAAUUCUUUAAAAACU
rnacentral:tRNA from 1 species